rnacentral:rRNA from 1 species
GUUCCUACGGGACGCAGCAGUGGGGAAUAUUGCACAAUGGGGGAAACCCUGAUGCAGCGACGCCGCGUGAGCGAAGAAGUAUUUCGGUAUGUAAAGCUCUAUCAGCAGGGAAGAAAAAUGACGGUACCUGAGUAAGAAGCACCGGCUAAAUACGUGCCAGCAGCCGCGGUAAUACGUAUGGUGCAAGCGUUAUCCGGAUUUACUGGGUGUAAAGGGAGCGUAGACGGCAGAGAAAGUCUGAAGUGAAAGCCCGCGGCUCAACCGCGGAACUGCUUUGGAAACUUUUCGGCUAGAGUACCGGAGAG